GGGGAUGGUUUUGAGUUUUCAACUCCUCUCCUCGAUUAUUUGAAUACGAGUUCUCUUAUUCGGUUAGUCAAAUAGUCGUCACUUCCACCCACUUAAGAACAAAUAAAUCAAAUUCUUUUAUAAUAAGAAACGAAAAGGGAGAUGACUUUGAGUCUUUAAUUUUUCUCCUCGAUUAUUUGAAUACAAGUUCUCUUACUUGGUUUGUCA
rnacentral:lncRNA from 1 species